AGCGAACGCUGGCGGCAGGCCUAACACAUGCAAGUCGAGCGCCCCGCAAGGGGAGCGGCAGACGGGAGAGUAACACGUGGGAACGUACCCUUCAGUUCGGAACAACCCAGGGAAACUUGGGCUAAUACCGAAUACGUCCGUAAGGAGAAAGAUUUAUCGCUGAAGGAUCGGCCCGCGUCCGAUUAGCUAGUUGGUGAGGUAACGGCUCACCAAGGCGACGAUCGGUAGCUGGUCUGAGAGGAUGAGCAGCCUCACUGGGACUGAGACACGGCCCAGACUCCUACGGGAGGCAGCAGUGGGGAAUAUUGAACAAUGGGCGAAAGCCUGAUCCAGCCAUGCCGCGUGGAUGAUGAAGGCCCUAGGGUUGUAAAGUCCUUUCGGCGGGGAAGAUAAUGACGGUACCCGCAGAAGAAGCCCCGGCUAACUUCGUGCCAGCCGCCGCGGUAA
rnacentral:rRNA from 1 species